UCGGACAAUUCUUGAAAUGACUAAUUCCGGGUUCCAGGGUUCACCCUUCGAGUUCAGCAACCGCUGGACCCACUACCGGUCCUGUACUUACCUGCACCGGUUCACCCUUCGAGUUCAGCAACCGCUGGACCCACUACCGGUCCUGUACUUACCUGCACCGUUUCACCCUUCGAGUUCUACAACCGCAGGACCCACUACCGGUCCUGUACUUACCUCUACCGCUUCACCUUUCGGGUUCUACAACCCGCUGGAUCCACUUUCGGUCCUGUACUUACCCCACCGUUUCUGCUGCCCUGCUGCGCGCGCCGGUGUACCCCGUGUCGUCGUGGGAAGAGUUACAGGGAAGUGGUAGUUUUCCUACUGCACCAAGGGUGCUCAGCCAGUAUCAAAUUACCUGCGACCCAGAGAUCCGAUCUAUGUACUUGCUAGGGAUUUAAUGUCAAUAAACUUGGUUUUAUUUCUA